UAAGACGAACCGUGCGAACGUUGUUCGGAUUCACUGGGCUUAAAGGGCGCGUAGGCGGGCCAUCAAGUCGGGGGUGAAAUCUUUCAGCUUAACUGGAAAAUAGCCUUCGAUACUGGUGGUCUGGAGGAAGGUAGGGGCAUGCGGAACUUCCGGUGGAGCGGUGAAAUGCGUAGAUAUCGGAAGGAACGCCGGUGGCGAAAGCGGCGUGCUGGACCUUUUCUGACGCUGAGGCGCGAAAGCCAGGGGAGCAAACGGGAUUAGAUACCCCGGUAGUCCUGGCCCUAAACGAUGGGUACUAGAUUGUAGGCUUGACAUGGGCUUACAGUCGAAGCAAAAGUCUUAAGUACCCCGCCUGGGGAGUAUGGUCGCAAGGCUG
rnacentral:rRNA from 1 species